UUUUCUAAAUCUGUCAAUAACAGUACUGUAAGUGGUAAAUUAUAUUUGGAAAUGCAAUUAGUAAUUUUAAGGGUUUGACAUUUUCCAUCUUCUACUAUUUAAAUUGAUUUUUAUUUAAAGCAAUUAAGGGCAUCCUUUUUCCACUAAUGAAAUUAUAUUAUAUAACUUCUGUUGGGAUAAUGUAUGUUAUAUAUAGAAGAGAAAAGGAGCUAGAGCUUUACUUUCUUUUUCCCAAGGUCAUUGUCAUAAAAUGGAUGGUAAUUUUCCAGAACAUAGAAGGGGUGGUAAUAUUCCAGAAUAUAUUAAUUAUUAGUCCUUUUAAAAAGUAAUCGGUCAAGAUUUCAAAUAUGAAUAUUUUUUCAACUUAAUUACUAUCAAGACUGAGAAAUUAUCUUUCUUUAUUAAACAAUAUUGUGCUUCUAAUAUAUUAAUAAUUAGUAUGGAAAAGCAGUAAAUGUGAACAUUACGCUUUCUUGGCUAAUAUUGUUACAUACUGCUGGUGUUUUCCAUGGCAUUUAAUUAGAACAGUGGCAGCCAUUCUCCAUAAGUAAAUACAAACCUAUAAGAUGAAGUGCUUUUGAAACUCGAGAUAGAGAGUGCUUUCACUGGGCAUCCAGUUGUUUGUUUAGUGCUACCAAACAUACUCAAAAUUUCUAUAUGGCUUUUCAUGUACUAAAUUAUGUCAGUUAACUGUAAUGAUGUUAAAAAAAAAAAAAAAGAAGAAAAAAAAAGAAAAACACAGAGGGCAUCAGAUGUACUUAGCAGGUAGAGCCUCAUAAACCAAUGGACAAGGUUAUCACAAGAGCACUAAUUGGCAACAGGUAAACUAAGAUCGCAAACUAGAAGUUUUCUAAUUAUUUGAGGAAUAAAAUGGACUUUGAUGGGUUACUAUUUUAAUUGCUCUUGAUUUUAAACAAGCUGUACUUUAAAGAUAUCAGCAUUGAAACUGGACUGACUCUGGCAUGAAGAGCAAUCAGUCAUAAGCACAUCACUUAGGCUUCUGAUUUAUAUCUUUUGAUUUACUUUCAUCCAUGGGCUCAAGUGUUUCUUUACUCUGUGAAUAAAAAUACAGUAAAUUUGGUAGAUUUAAUUUAACAGUUCAUUUAGGACAUAAACUACUACAGUAGAUGGCAAGGGAAUGAACUUUUAUUUAUUGAAGAUUUUUCCAUUGUUUUUGUGUGCAUCCUCAUAUCUAACAACGUGCAGAAAUCCAACUCUAUAGCCAAGAGAUAUGUUUAUUUCAAUACGUUUAUUUCAGCAGUACGCGUGCGCCAGGUGCAAGGGGGACAGGUCCUCCUAACCUGCACACUGACAAGCAAAAGCUCAUUACAUAAAUAGGCCAAGCUUGCACAUAUUAAACAGAUUUCCUGGAAUUUGUAUGCAUAUUCAUUAUAUUUCUGAGAAGUCCUUUGCAUAUGGUCCCUCCUCCUUGCGCCAGUGGGGGGGCUUUUCCUGGUGGUCGUUGGAUGAAGGCUCGUGCUCUUCCUCGCAAAGGCUCGUAGUCUUCCUUGAUGUAAACUUCUAACUUUUUCCAGGGGGGGCUAUCCCCAACUGUUUUCUGCUUGCUUUGUGGUUAUCUUGUCCCUGCUUACAGUCUCUGAGAAGUUAGGCAUCAUGCCAAGUCCUUCUUAUCGUACUUUUGUACUUUUAUAACUCCCACAAUUUUGAAAUUUCAAUUAUCUCUGUCCGCAGUUUAUUCACUCACUUCUGCAAUUUAACCUCUUUAUGCCUCACUAACUUCUAUAUUGUCCUAUCAUGUGAUUUAUUAGUGUAUUUUCUUCCUCUUUUUACCAAGGAAAAAUAAUGCAUUAUGAUGUCUUCUAUAUCUCUCCUGCAUCCAGAAUACUGUGUAUGUAAUUAAAGAACAAAAUUUGAGUCACAGCUGCAUUAACAAAACCUUUUUAAAAGUAAAAUAAUGUAUUUUUGGAAUUUGCUGAAUUUUCGAUAAUUCCACAGACACACUGUGUCCAUAUCUCACUCUAUCUGACAAAUAGACAGGAAUAAUUUUCCCUGUACGAGUCUGUAUUAAAUAAUUCCAAACUUUUCCUUAAAACACAAUGGGACAAAGUCCUAAACUACCUCAUCUCAAUUAGCCGUUAUCAGGAUUGGCUUAACUGCAUGAAUUUCCUCAGUUAUUUUCAAUCCCGAACUAUUCAAUGAUUCUGUGAUGAUACGUCGCUAUUGUUAUGAGAAAAAAAUGUCUACGUUCUUAAUUGCCCAAUUGCUUUCAACAUGUUCUGUUGGAGUUGCACAUGAAGAUAUAUAUUUUUGAAUACCUUUUGAUUGCUGUGAAAUUUAUUAAAGUUUGAUUGAGCAGCAAUGAGAUCAACUUUUCAAAGGAUCAGGAUGAACAUCUUAUCCCUCCCAUCACUUAAUCUGAAAAGAAAUUUAGCUACACAGUUUGAGAACACUAAUCAGUUAUUUAGCACCCAAGAGCAUCAGAAACUAUGUUAAGACUUUUUUUUUUCCUUCCAUUCUCAGAAGUUUUUUUCCUGUCUAUUCUUGUUGUCUCAGAAUUCACAUAAUAGAAAUUUAUAUCACAUGGGGCUUGUAUCCUUAGAGAUGUGCUCUCAAUAGAAUUGUGUCUUAUUUACAGUAAUAAUAAUUUGCAAGGAAUGUCAUCAGAGAUUUUUCUUGAUGUUGCAAUACUAUUAUGUGUUCUGAUAACAGGGAAGUUUCGUGUCCUUGAAAAUAACCUAAAAAAAUCCUGGCACUCCAUGAUACUCCAUCACUUCUAUUAUGUGUAUUCAAGAUAAAUUUCCAUGAGCAUCCAUGUCAGUCAGUAGAUGUACAUGAUUUAAGAGGCUUUGACAAAUAAUCCUGUUUUGUUUUGUUUUCCUACAGACUGAUAUUCUAGCAUAUACAGCAUCCUCCUUUAGAAGGCUUUGUGGUAGUAGUGCUAUAUUCUAACAUAUCUGCAGACAAGAGUGCUGUCUUUGAAGACAGUCAGAAGAUAAUACUGGAUUAUCUCCUUGAUAAUAGUGCCAGUGCUUCAAUUAUGUCAGUAGGUGUUUUGCUUUAUUCUCCUUAAUUGAUCCAUUUGUUGUUGUUUUUUUUUCAGCCUCCUACUCAGUCAUGGAGAAGAAGGAAGACUGUUUCCUUUUUCUGUGAUUAUGCCACCUCUGAGCUGGGAAGUGGAAGAACAUCCUGUAGCAGCAAAGCAUAUUCAUAAAAAAUGGAAAUAAAAGCUUACACCUUGAAAAAAUGCAAAAUACUAUUUCUGCUUACUCCAUUCUUCACAGAUGUUGUUCUCUACUUUGAAUUAACAAAACUGCUGUUCUGACUAGACAUACGAAGAAUUAGUCAUAGAUAUCCUUAAUCACAGAGGGACUGACUUCUGGUAUAUGAAACACUUAUGGUAUAUGAAACACUGGAGAUAUGUGUUUGUUAAUUCAUUUCAACAAGGAGGAACUUGAAAGACGUCAUGUAGUUUGGAUUACUUCUGAUACUGCUGCUACUUGUCCCAAGCAGCUACCAAAUGUUUUUCUACAUGUAAAAUAUGACUGAGAAAAAAACUGCCCUUCAGUCCAAUGGAAUUUCAAAAUAUGUUAAUCAAAAAUCCACCUUGACACUUGUAUUAUUUAGCAUUAAUAUUUUCAGAAAGUAUCAUAUUUCUCCAGAAAUUUCUGCUUUCUCCAUGUUCCUGAGAAAGAGACUUGGCUUAUAAUUUAAAUAUGCUUCACUAUUAGUUGUUGUCUCUAAAAUGAUUUAAGGAAGACUCGUUUCCUUGGAUUAUUCAGUAGGUGAAGAUGUAUGACAUUGUUCUUUUUAUUUUCUUUUAAAAAGUUAAUUCACAGAUCUUUUAUGUUUUGUUCAAUGCCAUAAGCUUUCAAUAUAAUAUUGAAAUAUAAUUGAUUUGUGUCUACUGAACUAUCCAAAGAAACAUUUUUAAAAGUCUGUGCAAGGUAUAAAAUAAAAAUGUUCAACCUACUGCAAAAUCAAGACACCCAUUGGUACUGCUGAACUGAAAGAGGAUUUGUUCUUGAUUUUUUUUUUAAGCAAUUUAAAGUUACAAUUAUUUCUAUAAAUCUGAGUUAGUAUCUUGAAGAUAAGAAAUCAUUUAGGUUUGGAUUUAACAAGAUAGCUGAAAGAAUGUAUCCACUGUAUGGUGAUUAGGAAGAGGAUAGAACUUGAAGCUUAGUAAAAGAGUGAAAAACUUCUCUCCUUCCUUAUGUUUUAAUUUACAAAACUCUUUUGCUCAGAGGAACUGAACUUUUCAAGUGGGAUUGAGGUUCUCUGUUGCCUUGCCAAUGAAUAUGAAGAUACUCAAAUUUUCUCUGUGAAAAAACAAAAACAAAAAUUCCAAGGACAGAUUUAAUCUUUAGCUUCAGACACUAGAGACAAAUAUAAAGCUUUUGUUUCCUGAGCUCUCAUUUUAGAUGUGAUAUAAAUCAACUCUUUGGUAACUCAGCUGGCCUGCAGCUAAUCACCAUUAUUAUUAACACAUAUUAGGAACUUACUAGGUUGAUUAAUCCUUCUGGUGUCAGAUGCAGAGAAGAGAGAUAAUUUUUCUUUUUAAAUUGAAGAAUUGAAGAUUUGACUUUUCCAAAGACUGUACAGUUAUUCCAUACCUUUUAUAAUAAAUGUUAUACCUUAUUUAAACAAAA